rnacentral:rRNA from 1 species
AACGAACGCUGGCGGCAUGCCUAACACAUGCAAGUCGAACGAGACCUUCGGGUCUAGUGGCGCACGGGUGCGUAACGCGUGGGAACCUGCCCUUAGGUUCGGAAUAACUCCCCGAAAGGGGUGCUAAUACCGGAUAAUGUCUUCGGACCAAAGAUUUAUCGCCUUUGGAUGGGCCCGCGUUGGAUUAGCUAGUUGGUAGGGUAAAAGCCUACCAAGGCGACGAUCCAUAGCUGGUCUGAGAGGAUGAUCAGCCACACUGGGACUGAGACACGGCCCAGACUCCUACGGGAGGGAGGAGAGGGGAAUAUUGGACAAGGGGCGAAAGCCUGAUCAAGCAAUGCCGGGUGAGUGAUGAAGGCCUUAGGGUUGUAAAGCUCUUUUAGCCGGGAUGAUAAUGACAGUACCGGGAGAAUAAGCGCCGGCUAACUCCGUG